UCGGGAUUCUCCUGAGCCCAACGCUGGCCGUGCGCCUGCUCGCACGGCCAAUGCGCGUCCUCUGCAUAUGAUCAUCCGACCAUGAUGUUGCAUAAGUGGGAAACUGUCUUUUUUGUUUUUAACGCCAAGAGGAGUCUGUGCAUUUUCCUUUCGACUUAUCCGGUUGUAUAAAGCAGAAUGGAUCUGACUCUCUGAGCCCCUGCCCCAGGCUUCAGCAUGCCAGACCAGGGGGCGGAGGUCCCUGGAGAAGACGCAUGUUAAGGUGAACGAUUCCUCCACCAAGAACUCUUGAGGCUGCAAAGAGCAGGGUGGAGAAGGAUCUGGUUGAACUCUUUACGUAGGAAGUGGGUAUUUAAGGCACAAAACCUCCUCGGGGUCUCAUCAGAACCAGGAGGCAUGGUUCGAGACUCGCAAGCAGCAGAUCUGGGAGCACAAUGGAAAGAGAGGACUUUAACGAGGGUGCCCCUGGGUGUCUGGACCCUACCCGGCUGGGCCUCUACUCCUCUCGCAGAGUCGACGUCCAAGCGCCUAGAGGUGGAGGGCGUGCCUGCACCACAGUCUUCCUGAGACAGGUCCGUACCAGCUGUGACUGGCAGGCGGGACCCGGGACGCUUUGGUGGCCUCAGGUUAUUUGUGAUUUGUGAGACCUGGGGCUCCGGGGAGUCACAUGUGUGAGUCACGGUCAUUGGUAUUCACAGAGUCAUUUCUCUGGAAAUGUAACAAGGAAAACACAGUGAA